AGAGUGAACACGCGAGUAGUUACUUUGUGAGCCAAAACAGUUUUUGUGCUAAGUUCACCUUCUGAGUCCGAUUUUUGUCAUAAAAAAUGAGAUUCCUCUGGAAGAUAAUUUCCAUAACAUCACAGUAGAUGAUGCGGAAGAAACUCUAGGUGACGGUUUGCCGUCUGCACAUUUGAUAGCUAAUAAUAAGUCAAUUUCCAUAGAAAUCAGGUCAGAUAAUAAUUAUCAAACAGGUGAUCUAGAGGCUGCUCCUACGACUGCCAACAAUGAGGAUACUUUCCAGAGUGUAAAUACUUGUAUAAAAAGGCCUGUGUUUCACACACUUUUUAAGUUUUCGUUCCUUCUUGGUGCACGCCAUAGGCAACCUGCAUAUGGGAUAAUAUCUGAAACGGAGUGUAGAGAUAUUAUGGAUACUGAUUUGUUAUAAUAGAAAGGGAAACAUCAAAAUCUAAUAUAAUAGACGGUUUCAGAAUAGUUGAAAUGUACUAUAUUUUAAACUGGGUCAUUCCUAUUCAAUAUGAACACGCCAAAGUGUGUAUUUUAGGAAGAAUAAUUGUUAAAGGAGAGAGGCGUCGAGGAAAAGGUUUAGUUAGUGAAAUUGUGUUGAGUUGUACAGUUUACGAAAAAACGUUUUCUUGUGAGACGGAAAAUCCUAAA